UCUCCGCGCGAACAGCCUGGUUAUCCGUAUGACCGACACAGUCCGCUCACUCGUCCGGUUGGUGGCAUUUGACGUAGGCACUCGCCCGCGUCAUCUCGGACGGCGUGCCGACGGUGAGAGGAGCAUAAACAUAUGUUGCUGGCACUGCCUGUAACACGCCAACGCUUUUGACCAAUUCGGAUACGUCUUUCAACCAAAAAAUUACGUACGGUUACGUACCUUCCACGUACUUGAGCAACGGCCUACUCUCCAUAACGACGGUGGUGCCAGGCGCACUGCGACCCGACAUCUUGUCCCGGCUGUGGAAUGAAAAAGCAUCGAGGUCUUCCUCCUCUGCUUGUCGUUCUUUUCCUUGGUGCUGGUCAAACUGGCCAUGGCUCUGAAGUUGGAGAACCAGUCGAUCCUCAAAACCCUGGAGAUGUACCAGAAAGGCUGCAGGAUACAGUCCAUGGCGUUAAAAUGGGAGUGGUGAAUCCCGAGUGUGAUAAUGCUAAGGUCAACAUUUCUGUCGAUUUUCUGGAUGAUCCAACGGUAUACGUGUGCUUCCACCCCAAGGCAAUGUAUCCACUUGGAACAGUUGCUCAUGGACACUCAAAGCAAAGUUGUGACACAGUACCUAUGGAUUAUCGACCCAGGCAUUAUUGCAUGAACAGCCGGAUUAAGUACGACUCGUACCUGCCGACGCAUGAAGGACAUAGACCUCUGUGGCCUGUAUUUGGAGAGUAUAAAUAUGUUCCACCUCAGCGCUGGCUUCACAACAUUGAGCACGGUGCAAUUGUCAUGCUGUACCACCCAUGCACUCAUCCUUAUUAUGUGGACACACUUCGCAACAUAGUUACAGGCUGCCUUCGCAAGCAUAUUAUCACACCUUACGUACACCUUAGUCCAGAAAGGCCUUUGGCUUUAGUUGCUUGGGGAUGCCGCUAUGAAAUGAGCACUGUGGACCAGGAGGAAGUUGUCGCAUUCAUCAAAGAAAAAGCGUUGAAGGGACCCGAGGGUUCCUAUCCGAAAGAAGGCCAGUACACACAUUUUCUUCUCAAGACCUCAACGCCCCCUUUGGGAUCUGACAUGAAUGAUACUGUCAUCUGCCCUGGUUUGUGAACAUCUCUCACAAGGUCUUGGAUUCCAGUCUGGAGGUAUGAAAGUACCAUUGUAAUCAUACAUUUCAAGGUCUUGCUUUAUUGAAAUUGGCAUCUAAUGUUACUGAAAUGUUGUCAUAUAAAGCACGAACUCUGUUCUCGUUUAAAGAGGCUGUCGUGCCACUUAAUUUAAAGUAAGUGUAAGCAGCAAAGCUCUUGAAAGUUAACCUUGAUAAUGGGUAACAGAAUUGUGAAAGAAAAAGAACACAAAUUUAUUAAAUCAUAAUUAAUGUCUGUGCCUGAAUACAUCUAUGUGUUUACAAAAGAACCUUCAUGCCUAUUCUCAAAUUGCUUGGGUUAAAAGAUGUUUUGUUCUGGCUUGAGCUUCUGACACAGCAACACACUGAUGCCCUUGCUGCUAAACCAGUGUUCUGUUGCUGCUACCAACUCCAGCCAGACUGUUUUUCAGAAGGUGUGAAAAUUUUAGAUUUUAUUCCUUCAUCCACUAGUCAGGUGCUGAGCAGGGCAGUUGUGGUAGUGGCUUUGGUAAAGUCACAACAGUAGAAAGGUUUCCUAGGAAAUACUGCUUAAAGUUGGGUUCUCCAAACAGAUUUCUUUCUUCAUUGCCAGAGAUUCAAAAUGGUCAGAUUGCAGCAGCACUCAGGUGAAUUGUAGUUAGUACAACCAUAAUAGAGCGGCAUUCCACAAGCCUCAAAACGUAUCUUGAAAAAUGAUGGCAAACAGAUAAUUUUCACUGAAGUUAACAUAUUAGUCAUUGGAAACUUGCAGAUAUGGAAAAUGCAUUCUUCUUAAAGAUGCUCACAUUUUGCAAUAGAUGGCAAGAUGCAUGUUCAGGAGGGCAGCUUAUCAACUUUAUGUAGUGUACAGCCAAAAUUCACAUACAGGAAGAGAAGAUGCAAGACGACACAUGGCUCUGUCCUGUCUGAAAAUUUAGGCUGUAUGCUACAGUAAUUAUGCACCAACUAGUUCAGACAUGACUGCUGUUGGGCUUAUCAACUGUUUGCAGAAUUUAGGAGCAGUGGGUAGUCAUCGGACAGAUGUAGGGCAUGAACCUUAUGGAUUUCUCAAGAGAUGAUACCAGUGCUUACAGCAUCCCCCUUCCAUUCUUAAUCUGGCUCCCUGUAACUAUUGUGUUCCCACAGCAUGAAAUCAGGAAUAUCAACGAGAUGGUCGGUGGCUGACCUAAUGGUGACAAGCCUGAUGAAGAGCAAAAUACUUUUUUAACAGUUGGAUGUGAAAGUCAACGCACUAGCAUGAAAAGUGCAUUGAAAAAUAGGAUUAAUCAUACUGAGAAAUGAUAUCAUUUGUUUGUCUACUUGUAUGCAUCUCAUCAUUAUCAUCAUUUAUCCUUAGAGGCCCUUUACAGGGCAUUACAUAAGGAGGGGACGCGAAAUGACAAAAAAGACUUGUCAUAAAACGAAUGUAGUAAUUAAAAGAAUGGCAUCCGUUUUCCAAAAACAUUAAAUUUGCUGUUACUUGUUGAAUUGCUUUCAUUUAUGAUAGUUAGUGUUUUAGCUCAAAUAAUUUUAUUUGUAAUAUAGUAGCUUAUAACCCCAAAACACCAUGAGAAAAGUAUGAAGCUACUGCACAUCAUGAGUACUGAUUUUAUCAACAUGCUUCCGACCACCAAAUUGAUUAUCUGCAGAUGACUAGAUUACCAUAUUGUGCAAUGAUAUCGUCCUCUGCUUUAAUUCCUUUGAUAUUUCUUUGUUUGCCAUUUUGCUGUGGUUAGCACUAAUGUGCUGUACUCAAUGCAUGGGUGGUGAGAGUUCAGUUAGUUUCUUAUUGAGCAAGCUGCCAUAGAGGUUAAGUGCGGACAUAAUUGUCACCAGAGAAUUCUUAUUGAACAUUCUUUAUUUUCACACACUCAGAAAGUAAUGAGGCUUCUGGCUAUUUGUACCAGCUUGUGAGCAUUCGUCAAACAGUAUAUUUGACAUGGAACAUUCUUGUUAGAUUUGUUUGAUAGUGAUGAAUGCACAUUGAUAUUUCAACACUGAGUUUGUAACUCUUUUGCAGUAAUCAGUGACAUGCCACUAUGUCAGUGCACCUAGUACCUUUGCUCUUGGCCAUUUACAUAUGCAGAGAAUAGCGGGGCUUGUCACCAUUAAAAGAGGGUGGUGCUGAUGAUUAUCAUGGAAGGUUAGUGAUGAGACUUGGCACCAGAGCAUGGUGAGAUUUCUUAUCACUGCUUGAAUGGCAAUUAUAAAGUGAGAGUUGUUUAUAUUGUGAUUUCUGUAUCAGCAUUAUUUAAGAGAUUGCUUGUUAUUUACAUAAAGCUUUUUUACAUGUUCCCUGCUUUGAACUGUCACAAGUGGGUAACGUCAGCUGUUCCUGCUGUGCAGCAACAAAUGUACAUUUGGCAUAAAAGACCUCUAGCUGCAAAUAACUGAUGUGGUUCAUUGACCACUUGCCAGUGUGUCAUACUGCACCUAUGGUGCAUAAUGUGUGGUGAUUGCAGCAAUUGGGGCACAAGACAGACCUCCUACAGAGAUAGCUGCUUGACAGCUUGGCACUGUCAGGUGCUGUUGAGCACUCUAUGGUAACCAUGGAGCAGCCUUGUUAUGGCAUGCUAUUCUAUGGGGAAUGACAGUUAUAGUAUAAGUUUUAGUUGUAGUUAUAGUAUAGUACAAGAGCACUACAUUUUGAUAUAACAUUGUACUUCAAGAUUAGCCGCCCUCACAACAAAAAAGAAAAAAAAGGGGGGGAUUCAGUGCAUUGAUUCUGCCACUUCUUGUACUCUGUUCUUUUGGUGUGUGUGUUUGUGUAACUUAGUAGUUAUCAAAAAUAAGCCUAAUUUACUUAUACAGUAGAGUCUCGUUAAUUCGAACUCCAAGGGGACUGGAAAUUUAUUCAAAUAAAACGGAAUUCAAACUAAGGAGAGCUCCUUUAAAUAUAGUACCCGGUCAAUUGUGUGGUACAGUGCACAAAUCCAAAACUACUGUCACUGGACUUGACUUUCCUCAUCAUUUUUACAGCAUGUGACAAUAUGGUAGCUAGCGAUGCAUUGAACCUUCCCCUUUCAAUCAGGUUUGUCCAAAAGGCAGCCAAUGGGAGUGAAAAACUUGUUCAAUAUCACCGUUGUGCGAUUUUUAGCGUUCAAAUUCGUGGGAGUUUUUCUCCAUUCAAAUACAUAGCACUUUGUCGGGACCAACAGAGCAGUUCGAAUUAUCCGUCAAUUAGAGUAAAGAAAUUUUCAAAUUACCAAGAUUUCACUGUAUUAUCAUAAACACUGCAAGCAUUGGUAGUGAGCACAUUGGCAGCUCUUAGCCCUGAAAGAGUUCAUUUACUUUACAGUUGAGCAUCGAUAUAGUGAACACAGAUUAAUGAAUUAUCAGAUAUAAAGAAAACAAGGGGAAUGCGGGAGAUGGCGAUUCAAGGCGAUGAGUAACACUAGAACAAGGUGAGAGCAGGAGCCAACGUUUCGACAAGUGGACUUGUCUUCUUCCAGACAAGAAGACAAGUCCACUUGUCGAAACGUUGGCUCCUGCUCUCACCUUGUUCUCGUGUUACUCAUUGCCCAGAUAUAAACAAGUAAAUCUAAAAUUUACCUCAUCACUAUCAACUUAUGACAAGCAUCACAUACAAUGAAAAUAGUUUUAUGCUGGAAGCAACUUUGUUAUAAUGUGGUUCAGUUGUAUCAACAAAAGGCAUUUUCACUGUCAGAUGCAUUUAAACUAUUUGUAUUAAUAAAUUAGGUUUAUUUAGUGCAGAAGCCGUCACAGUUACAACGCACAACAAUCAGUUUGAUAUAUAUAUAAGGCGUCUCAGCUAUCACGCACGCAAGUCUUUUUUAGAAGAUGGGAGCUUUCUGUGCUGAUGAGACCAAUGUGCAUGUCGUUAGCAGCGACCUGAAGAAGCGUCCUAUAUUUUUUCUCUUCCUAAUUCAAUUGUAAUGAUUGAUUAACUUAAUUACUAUAUUUAGGGCAGACAUGCCAACAUGAGGUGGUAAAGUGCCUUCGAAAACAUCUAUCUCUAUUGUUUGCAACACGCUAUAUUUUGCGUGCUUCUUUUUUUAUGUGUGAGCUGAACGUGUAGCAAAAGGGCCGGUAGUUCUCGCACUCUAUAGUGUUUUGCUCUGAACAUGUCAUGCCAGAAAGGUACAUGCCCAGCCCAUUCCUCCUAGCCAAGUUUGGUUUUUGCAGGAUAAGUCGCACAUACAGUGGGCUGCCGUGGUGGAAUUGCACACUUGUGGUCUCGGAAUGUUUCAGAUCAGGCGACCCGGCAGUGGCCUUACACUUAUUAAAAAGUCACACGAGCCAUGCCAGAAUGGCGGUAACUGUUGGUGGGAGGAGAGUAGAGACAUUGACCUUAAAUUGAAAUUUCAGGUUAGAAUGUGUUCAGACACCAGUUUUGCUAUGGGUAUAACCAUACUGGCCUCUCUAUCUUUAGCUAGUGCAUUGAUAAUUAAGGAAGACUUGAGAGCAGGCUUUUGGUAUUCCAUGACUAAUAAUCUUGAAGUACAAGUUUAUUAUAAUGAUAAACUAAGAAUAGUCGGACGAUCAUAAUCAUAGCCCCUUUAAGUAGUGUUGACUAAGUAUGGUACUAAACAGAUAGCCUGAUGAGUGCAAAGUGAUGGAUUUAAGUCAGCACUUGGACUUCUAGUAAAGGUAUAUGCUUCCACAGCCAAGUCCUGAGCUCUUUGAAAGGGCAGCUGCUUUGAAGAGAUUGUUAACUGCACUAAACUUGAUAGUAGUGACACCUGGCUGUUGACAUUCUCAGUCUUGUAUGGCACAAGCAGCCGUAUGCACAAGCUUGACUCAUGGCAGCAGUCAGACAGAUUUAGAGUGAUUCUGAGAACUUUAUUAGGCAUUGUGUAACAUGUCUCUUGUUUCUGUGAUCAAACCAAGGCCCCUUGUCAAAGCAUUGCCUCCAGGCUUACGUUUCCCUUGUUCACCCGCUGUUCAGGCCUCCAUCUUUCUGUGAUUCCUUUGCCCUGAUUACAAGUUCAUGCUACACUUGCAGGGAAAACCACAUUGCUAUCAAGUCUCUGAGUAACCUUGUUAUUUAUGGCCCAAAUUAUGUGUGUCCCUUUCCAGACAUGUCAAUGUUCACACUGUUUGGGAUAAAGAGAAUUUUUAACGCGAUAGUGUUAAGGGCUCAUGUCGCAGAAAAUCCGGCGUCGGCGUGCGAUGUCGGCUGAGUGGCGGAGAAAAUCAUCCCUAACCACUUCGACCGCGCAGGCCCUCCACGUGGUGCAAGGUUUUAAUAAACAAAAAUUGAAUUUCUCACAGUGAAAUUUGUCAGAAAAAUGGUAAAGUACAACUUUACCAUUCGGCGUCGGAUUCGCCGUCGGAUUGUUUACCAAUCGGUGUCGGAUUGUAAUUUGAAUGUACGAGAAAACUUAAUUCUGCUACGAGGAAACUCAAACACAAACCCCUUGUCCUGCAUUUCUACCAGACCUACAGCCGUGCCUUCGGGUACUUUACUUGCGAAAAUGAUAUCCAGAUGGUGCUCGCAUCCUAGGGAGGUCAAAUUGGGACUUCGCCUGCUAAUUCGUUUUGGACACGAGUGCGCAUCUGGGCACUAGCAAACAAUUAAUAAAAUAAUAAAAAAAGGUGCUAGGGCCUUCACAUUUUAAUAUAAGACCACUUAUAUUGCCCCCUGGAAAAAUGUCUUCCCAUCAAUGCAUUUCUGUUUAAAAGUGAAGAGUAAGCUUGGUCUUUGUAAUCUGGCUUUCCCACGUUCUGUGUUGCGGUGAAGCUCACUGAAACAAAAAUGUGAUGCGAAAGGGGCCCGAUAACGCUAUCGCGUUUUAUUAUACUUCUUUGCCAGGUAGAAUCAAGCUGUCUGUUAGUUUUAUUCUUGGGUACAAAUAUCUGUGUGGCAGCACAUAUAUUUAUGCUUAUCUAAACAACACAGAAGAAAGGGUAUAUUUUUUUGUGUUGAGUGCCUGUCAUGUUUAUCAUGCUUCAUUUGUGCGGGGAAAACCGCAUUGCUUUCAAGUCUCGGAGUAACUUGUUAUUUAUAGUCCAAAUGAUAUGUGUCCCUUUCCAGGCAUGUCAAUGUUGACGCUGUUUGGUCUAAAGGUUUUGAGAAUAUUUUUGGCAUAUUUUUUUGACAGGUGGAAUCAAGCUGUUUGUUCAUUUUUGUUCUUGGGUACAAAUGAGCCCAUCUGGGUGGCAGGACAUGUAUUUAUGCUUAUCUAAACACAGAAGAAAGGGUAUAUUUUCAAUGUCAUGUUUAUCUUGUCGGUAAAUUGAACUGUAUUUGUUUCAUAACUGGCUCAACUGUCUCUAUUCACAAUGUCUUUUAUUUUACCUUUAUGAGUGGUAAUUGUUGAUCUCUUGUUUGUACAAGUAAUUGUGGGUUAAUGUUAAAAGUUAUGUUAACUGUGAAUGUCUUUGAGAUGCUGCCUUUCACUCUGUUGUGUGAAAUGGUUCAUGUGAGCACCAGUUCUAUGCCACUACAGUAACAUCUCGAUGACAGAAAUAUUGCAGGGGCACGUAAAAUACUUGUACUGCAAAAAACAAGAUUUUCUCAUUGAUCGAUAAUUAGCAUGAAUAAGGACACAGACAUAGAGAAGAAAUUAAUGUGAUAAGCACUGACAAACUUCUCAACUUGGCAUUGUUGUAAUUUUCAUGCUAAGGUAACAGAAAUACACAAAUGCAAAUUUAU